AUAGCACAUGCCUUUAAUCUCAGCCCUCGAAAGGCAGAGGCAGGUGGAUGUCUAUAGGUUAGAAACCAGCCUGGUCAACGUAAGUGAGUUCCAGCACAGCCAGGGCUUCCUAGGGAGACACCAUCUUGAUGACAAUGACAAAGAUGAUGACGGUAGCAUGGGACUGGAAAGAUGACUCAAUAAUUAAGGUCACUUGCUAGUCUUCCAGAGGACACAAAUGGAGUUCCCAGCACCCACAUAGGAAACUCACAACUACCUGUCAUCCCAGCUCCAGGAGACCCAGGAUCUUUCUCUGGCCUCCACAGGCACCACACGCAUACACACGUAGGUAAAAUGAUAAGGACCAAUAAGUAAUAAAGUCCAGCACCACCUUUUAGAAGGUCUGUCUGUAAAUGGGACUAAUGCUAAAAAGCAGAAUGUUCAGGUACUCGGUUCCUCCUAGUAGUGGUAAAAUAUUAUUCCAAAGAUAAUUUUAUAGUGUUGUUGGGGUGAAAGUUUUACCAGACCUUAAAAUUAAAUCUUUAGGAUUCUUUCAUUUUUAACCUUGGGAAUUAUGACACAACCUCCCUCAGGCCAUAUCAAUCAGAUCUGCUCAGCAGUUCGUGAGAAUGUCUGUCUUCAUGUGUGUGGGAACCUUAUGGACGUGGUUAUCUUGCAACCCAGAGGAAAGGACCUGGAAGACCCCUAACAAAGUCUUUUACUUUGUUACAAGGAGUCAGUGUGGAAUGUUCUUCAAACACUGGAUCCCUGCAAGGUGUAACACGUGACUUCUGAGUUUCCAGAAAAGGUCAUUUGCGAAACCAGGAUGCUGCAACCACAUAUCUUAUUGAGUAACAAAACAAGUUAUGCCUGCUUCUCCCCAUCAGUGCUUUCAAGGGGUGUUAAACCCGGGGCUGACUGGAAAAGCCUGGAGGUCAGGAAGGACAGAGCUCCUAAGGCCUGGUUUUGAGCCUUGCUGUCUUAGUCAGGAGCCUUCCGGUUUGCACGAUCAGUUCAAAGUUGCCACUGGUAGGAAACUAGGGGUUGAAUUCAAAUUGUAGUUUGGAUUUAGUGCUAUUGAUAAUAUUUAGCCUGGGCUUGGACUGUUGGAGGAAAUAAGAUAUAACUGAUGUUUGUUUUUCUUUUUACCAAAGUUUUUAUUACAUUUAUGUAUGUAUGUUUGUAUGUAUGUAUGUAUGUAUUGGGGAAAGGACACAUGCCACCAGAGAAGGGGGUGGGGAGGAUAAUGUUCAAAAUCUGUCCUGUCUUUCCACCAUGUGAGCCACAGGGAUAGAACUCAAGUGGGACAGGUUUUGCUGUAGCCCCUUCACCUGCUGUACUAUCCCACGUGUCUGUCUGUCUUUUCAGAAGAGUUCUUUCAGACCCGAAAGCUAACACAGUGGAAGGAACCAGAGGCUUUUCCGGGCCUGGUAACAGCUCCUGGCUAUGUCUUCCAGAUUGCCCCAGAGAAUCUCAGGCAUCUCUUGGGACAGAGAAGAAACCCUUAAAGCAUCUUUUUGGCAACUGAGAAAAUGUCAGUCCAGUGGCCCCGGGACAUCUUCAGUGGGCUUAAGGUGAGCUGGAGGUAAACCUGAGACUCACUUUUCAACCUGGGACACUAUAUAUAUAAAACCUGCUCGGCUGGUGA